CGGGGUGUAGCUCAGAGGAAGAGCGCCUGUUUUGGGAGCAGGAUGUCGUAGGUUCAAAUCCUACCACUUUGA
rnacentral:tRNA from 1 species